rnacentral:piRNA from 1 species
UAAGGGACAGAGUGCAGGGUUUGACCUU